CAACAGGGAUGUCGGUGUGCCAGGCUAGUGAGUGCUGAAGAUCUCCAGCCACAUCGGGAGCUCAGUGCAGGCCCAACCCCCUCACCAUGGAAACCCGGAAUCCCCAAUCAAGAUCGCUUCUUCGUCAGGCGGUGAUGUCUGGGGACUUUCCCACUCCCCACCUCACACCAGCGCACCCCUCUGUUGGACAGUGACCUCUCACCUUUAGGUGUGAAGGAUUCUUCCAUCAGAAGGGAUGCAGCAAGAGCGCAGACUCCCCAGUGGACUGUGAAGCCGACUGAAGAGGUUGAAGGAGAGAGGUGUGUGUCGGCGGGGGUCAAGAGAAGGACAGUCACCGACAGACCCCCAUCAGAAUGACACACACACUCAUGGGACCCAUGGAACUUAGAGAGUCUGUGCACCUGUUUCACCUGUCUGCCAGGCUAGUGAGUGCAGCCACAUCAGGAGCUCAGUGCAGCGUUCCCCAAGAUUCCCACCUGUACUCCGACUACCCCCA